rnacentral:misc_RNA from 1 species
UACGAAGGGGGCUAGCGUUGUUCGGAAUCACUGGGCGUAAAGCGGGCGCAGGUGGCCAUUCAAGUCAGGGGUGAAAUCCCGGAGCUCAACUCCGGAAUUGCCUUUGAAACUGUAUGGCUUGAGUCUUGGAGGGGGGUGCGGAAUUCCUAAUGUAGCGGUGAAAUGCGUAGAUAUUAGGAGGAACACCGGCGGCGAAGGCGGCACCCUGGACAAGUACUGACACUGAGGCCCGAAAGCGUGGGGAUCAAACAGG